rnacentral:lncRNA from 1 species
AGCAGAGUUGAACACUUCUCUGCUUGAGGACUAUGAUAAAAAUUCUUUAUUUCUUGCACAUUAUAAUUAUUCAUAGUAGUGAGAUUCAUGAUGCCAAAUUCACACAUACACCUAACAUUUGAUCAAUCUCAUACCUCAAUAACUUCCCUUCUUGUCUUCCUCCUCCCCAUGAAGUGCUUGCUCUACUCUCCUGGUCUUCCUACUAUUAUUGUAAUUUACUUAAUGUGAUGUACAUUAACUUGUAUAUAUUAGAUGAUUUGAUUUUAUUCAUAUACUGUGGUAUAUACAUACCUGGAAAUAGCAUAAUAGGGUAGAUUUUAUCCCCCAGGUACUUUCCUAUGCCUUUUCCCACCUCACUCCUUUCUAUUGAUUCCUUUUCUCUACUGUGUAGUUUUCCUUCCACCAAAUGUUCUUUUGAUGAUAAUACUCUACAGAUAAAAAAAACAUUUUGUGUACUUUAUCAAAUACCAUAGCUGGAUUUGUGAUUAGCAUUAGAAGAAAAGCUGAAACGACCUUAAUUACAACAUAUUUGAAAUUACUUAUGUCAAAUUGGAGGCAUUCAUAGAAAGGAAUCUCAUAAAUCACUUGAAAAUCUAGAAUAUAGAAUGAUGUGAGAAAAUGUUGGUCUAGUAAAGCUCCA